rnacentral:rRNA from 1 species
GAGACAGCAGCAGCCGCGGGAAUACGGAGGGUGCAAGCGUUAAUCGGAAUUACUGGGCGUAAAGCGUGCGCAGGCGGUUAUAUAAGACAGAUGUGAAAUCCCCGGGCUCAACCUGGGAACUGCAUUUGUGACUGUAUAGCUAGAGUACGGCAGAGGGGGAUGGAAUUCCGCGUGUAGCAGUGAAAUGCGUAGAUAUGCGGAGGAACACCGAUGGCGAAGGCAAUCCCCUGGGCCUGUACUGACGCUCAUGCACGAAAGCGUGGGGAGCAAACAGGAUUAGAGACCCCUGUAGUCCCUGUCUCUUAUAC